AGUGAACGCUGGCGGUAGGCCUAACACAUGCAAGUCGAACGGCAGCACAGUAAGAGCUUGCUCUUACGGGUGGCGAGUGGCGGACGGGUGAGGAAUACAUCGGAAUCUACUUUUUCGUGGGGGAUAACGUAGGGAAACUUACGCUAAUACCGCAUACGACCUACGGGUGAAAGCAGGGGAUCUUCGGACCUUGCGCGAUUGAAUGAGCCGAUGUCGGAUUAGCUAGUUGGCGGGGUAAAGGCCCACCAAGGCGACGAUCCGUAGCUGGUCUGAGAGGAUGAUCGGCCACACGGGAACGUAGACACGGUCCAGACUCCUGCGGGAGGCAGCAGUGGGGAAUAUUGGACAAUGGGCGCAAGCCUGGUCCAGCCAUACCGCGUGGGUGAAGAAGGCCUUCGGGUUGUAAAGCCCUUUUGUUGGGAAAGAAAAGCAGCAGGUUAAUACCCCGCUGUUCUGACGGUACCCAAAGAAUAAGCACCGGCUAACUUCGUG
rnacentral:rRNA from 1 species